rnacentral:rRNA from 1 species
UACGAAGGGGGCUAGCGUUGUUCGGAUUUACUGGGCGUAAAGCGCGUGUAGGCGGGUCGUUAAGUCGGAGGUGAAAGCCCAGAGCUCAACUCUGGAAUUGCCUUCGAUACUGGCGACCUGGACCCAUGUAGAGGCAAGUGGAAUUGCGAGUGUAGAGGUGAAAUUCGUAGAUAUUCGCAGGAACACCAGUGGCGAAGGCGACUUGCUGGACAUGUGGUGACGCUGAGACGCGAAAGCGUGGGGAGCAAACAGG